ACUUGGCAAGAUAGCUCUGGAAGAUAGCUCCAGCUCAGGAAGAAGACCCUGCAGCCCAUUUCCUUUCAAAAGGCAGAGAUGAACAUUCUCCCUGGCCGUCUUGAAAUAGACCAAUAUGUUUGGAAAUAAAGAGACUUGGCUUCCUGGUCCUGCUCUAAGAUGGGAGCUUAAACCUAUGGAAUGUGACAUCCCUUUGGGCAAAAACAGAAUUCUUAGCAAAGAAAUCAUUGAUGUUAAGAGUUGAGAAAUAGACGGUCCACAGCAGACAACUUAGAAUGGAAUAAGGGAGAUGUGUUUGAGGCACUACCAUUGGAAGAUGUGCUGGGGAGAAGCCCAGCCCAGCAACAUGCGGCAGGACCACAUCUCGGCAGAGCUGAAGACAGAGACGUUGCAGCCACAAGGACAACUGGCAUGCCUCACAUUCCUCAGUGUUGAAAACAAUAAAAGGAAGGGGAAUGAGAGAAAAAUCAAAUUUCUACGAAGAGAUGUCAGCAGUAAAUUUAAUGCAGGUGCAAUAUUCUCCAAACAAAGGACGUUUUGUUUCUACCGUCUGGGCUCUGUGAAAACCUGCUCCACCUCCUCCUUGCUAUGUGUUUUCCUUUUUAUCUGUGUAAGGUAG
ensembl:lincRNA